UACGGAGGAUGCAAGCGUUAUCCGGAAUGAUUGGGCGUAAAGCGUCCGCAGGUGGCUGUGUAAGUCUGCUGUUAAAGAGUGAGGCUCAACCUCAUAAAAGCAGUGGAAACUACACGGCUAGAGUGCGUUCGGGGCAGAGGGAAUUCCUGGUGUAGCGGUGAAAUGCGUAGAGAUCCGGAAGAACACCGGUGGCGAAGGCGGCCUGCUGGGCAGUGGCUGACACUGAGGCGCGACAGCGUGGGGAGCAAACAGG
rnacentral:rRNA from 1 species